GCUUUUACUGUGAUUGCAGAACACAAGAAGGCAAAAAAGCAAAAAGUGACCAUUGUCCAAGCAAGACCAGUGUAUGAGGACUACGGCUAUGGACCUUCUUACGACUACUACGAUGACUACCAAGUCGUCCCUAAAAUCAAGAAAACCAAACAUAUCCAAAAGACCUACCGGCAGUACCGGGAGCCCGUGUACUACGACGCGCCAAAGAAAG